CUGACGGCUCUCCAGCCUUUUCUUUUAAACUGAAGAGAGACGAGGCGAAGCGGCAGCGGUGGUUCUUCUCCUCCGGCUCGCCGGGUUUAGGCUUCUCUAACUGAACGGACUUUCCAGAGCGCUGUUCUGCCGGAGGACUCGCCCUGACGGCGGCAGCGGCGGGCGUCGCGUGCGCAAACGACGGUUGAGGUUAGCGGGCCAGAAAGAGCAGGAGAGAAAAAGAAGGACAUGAAUGCUAUUUCUGAAAAACAUUUGAGCUCUGUACUUUUGACACCAUGUGAUGAAACUAAAAAGAAGAACCUCUGAUAAAGUCACUGCGGUAUGAAUGGGAUGUCUCAGUUGCUAUAAUUUGGAAAUGGUUGGCUGGUCUAAUUCCACCAGGACAUCAGACCUGCAGCUAAAGAGAACAGCAGCGCAGUGAAUGCUGUCACUUGGAUUUAGGCCAGAUCUUUAGAUCUUCAGCCAACUCUCCUGCUCUGAGCCACAAAUACAUAGGCCAGUGGUUGACAUCUCUCCAGCACCUUUGUGAGUGUGUGCGCACACAUGUCAGAAAUCUAUGUUUAAUGUGUCCCGACAUGAAGAGAAUGUGCAUUUGACUGAAUGACAGACCCUUUACAUAGGCACUAGUAAAAGAUGUUUUUUCAUGUUGUACAUCCUUUCUUAGCUUUUAAUUGUUAUAUAUUGAAAUAUUGUUGAAACAAAAUAU
rnacentral:lncRNA from 1 species